UUCACAUUGGUCGCUGAUGGUAAGUAAAGUGUUAAUCACGUGACAUUUUUUCACGCUAACUAUUCAGUCUAGUCGUUGCUGUUCGAGGAUAAAGAAGGGAACAAAGAAGAGAGACGAUUUUCGCUGAGAAAAAAAAAUGGCGCCAGAACACUAGGAAGAUAUGGGAGUUAAACUUUAGUCUGAUGGAAAUGGUGCCAACCCUUGCAUGUCUCUUCUACCAUCAAUCAAGUGCAAGUAUCUUCUAUUUGCUAAUGACAUUGGCAGCUGGUGCGGCAUUUAAAUAUGUAUGGAUUGAAAGUAGAGAAUAUGUACAAAGCUGAAAUUUCUAAGAAUUUAAAUUAAGGAGAACAGAAGAAAUUUCAUUUCACAUUCGCUGGAAAAAUGUUGGUAAAUUGAGAGGUGAACAUAAACAGUGCUGAAAUUUCUAGGUGCACAGUAAGUUUGACAUCAAUUUUAACAAGGAGACUAGUUUAUAAUAAAACAGUUAUUAAAUCAGACAGAAGUUUAUGGAACAUCAAACAGUCAGGAAUAGCUGCCAGGGCAGUAACCAGAAAAGUUUAUACCAAAGACUAUGGGACUUAUUAUUAAGAAAUCCUAACAAAAACUUGGGGAAAAUCUGACAGUCAAAAAUAGGAGGAUACAGUAACCAAACAUGAUCGAAAAUGCAACAGGUGUUUAUGGAACAUCUGACACAGUGAAUAUUUCUGUUUUUGGAAGAAAUCAUUAGCCUUGUCCGUAGUAAACUCGUCAGAAGUUACUGUGCUAUGAUAAAUUAAUGGAAAAAUCUAAUACUCUGCCAUCUUUUGCUUUAACAAAGGUACACAAAUAUAUACUACUUGGGUUGCAGUAAUUCAAAAGAAUAAUUUUUCAAAUAAUUGCGACCGUCUCAAGAAUAUAUGUGAAGCCAGUGAGCACAAUUGUGCUCUAUAUAUGUAUUUAUCUGAAAUAAUAAUUUACAAAGUGUCUUUAAUUAAACUUUUUAAAACAUA